rnacentral:rRNA from 1 species
UAACGCGUGGGUAACCUGCCUUACACAGGGGGAUAACACCUGGAAACAGGUGCUAAUACCGCAUAAGCGCACAGCUUCGCAUGAAGCAGUGUGGAAAACAAAAAGCUAAAGCUUUUGGUGGUAUACGAUGGAUCCGCGUCUGAUUAGCUUGUUGGCGGGGUAAAGGCCCACCAAGGCGACGAUCAGUAGCCGGCCUGAGAGGGUGAACGGCCACAUUGGGACUGAGACACGGCCCAAACUCCUACGGAAGGCAGCAG